UUUUUUAUUAAUUUUUUAAAAAUUAUAUUAUAUUAUAUUAUAUUAAAAAUAACAAAUAAAUUGUUUAUCCUAAAAUUUGAAUUUAUUCCUAGAUAUAGAUUUUAAAAAAUUAAAAAAUCAUAACAUUUUUUUGUUUUAUCAUUAAGUAACACUUAUAUAAAAUCUAAAUUAGAAAUCUAAAUACCAAAAAUUGAAUAUUAAAAGUGAAAAAAGAGAAAAAAGAAAAAAGAAAAAAAAGGAAUAGAUUUUAUUUAGAAAAUUUAGAAAUUAACCCCAAAACUACAAGCCCUAGUUCGUCCUCCCUCCCUGUCUCCUCCCU
rnacentral:lncRNA from 1 species